GAAAUAUUGAAUGACACUGAAGUAGAAUUUUAGUUUUGGAUUCAAUUCAAAAAAAAAAUCAAUUCAAAAAAAAGAAUUUUAGUUUUGGAAGAGCAUGCGGUUCAAACGUGAUCCAACUUAGCGUAGAUUGAAAUGUAUGUGCUAAUGAUAUAGGGAUGACUCCCAUUUAGUACGGUGUUGUCAUAUGCUUGCUUUGUCAUUUGGUUUUUGGUUUCUUUAUUGAAUGAGGAGGGUGUCUGAGUUUGGUGACAGAUUUGGUUUUGUAGUUUGAAGUUAUGCUGCAAUUGAUUACCUUCUGAUUAUGAAUAUAGGUUGUAGUUACUUGAUGUCACAGGGGACUGUUCUCUUCCAUAAUGGAUGUUUCCAAUAAAACUUUACAUAUUUCUUUGCAUGCUAACACACCCAUGGGUGGGUGGCUUUCUAAAUACCACUAAGUGGUAAAACUUUACAUAUUUCUUACAGAACUAUUCAUCAAGUUAGCAGUAUUUCUUUGUUUCUGAUUAUCUUUUUCCCGCUUUUCUUGUCUCUGUUAUUGUUGUGGUUCACAGCCUUUGAUAUAUUUGUUUCAAAAUGCAAGCCUGAUUGCUUUAUGGACAUUAUGGUCCACUAUUGCAGCAUCAAUACCGUGAUGGCCGUCUGGAGGUAGUGGUACUGCGUCAUCUUGGUUCUGAAGAUGGAAGCACAGUGGUUGCUAAAAAUAUUAGGCUCUCAGACUUCCUUAGCAAUUUGAGAAUAAGGUGAACAGUGGCAAUGCUUAUAGUAAUUUCGGGGGUUGAAGUUCGAAACAGCUUGUAUUUCUUCUAAGUGGCAACAAAAUUUAUUGCAUUUUGUGAGUGCAAAUUCCCCUGGUGAUAUGCGUUGGAGUUGAGGCGCAGACAUGGCAUUCCAGGCAGGGGACAUGUAUAUAUAUAUAUAUAUAUAUAUAUAUAUAUCCAUAAAAUGAAAUACCCCAAAUAUAAACAAAAACAAAAGAUAACAAAAAAAAAGGGAGACAUAAAGUGAAUAUGGAUUGUAUUUCUUACAGAUUAACCAAGUCUACUGCAAUGUGUAUGAUAAUAAUAAUUACUCCCUCCGUUCCAAUUUAUGUGAAUCUAUUUGCUUUUUGAUCCGUUCUAAAAAGAAUGGCCCCUUUCUAAAUUUGGAAACAAUUUAGCUUAAAUUCUCAAUUCUACCCUUAGUGAGAAGCUUUUAUAACCACACAAAUAUUGUGAACUCCUUUUUGAGUUUUUUAGGACUACAAAUUUCAAGUCUUCAUUUUUUCUUAAACUCUGUGUCCAGUCAAACAGGUUCACAUAAAUUGGAACAGAGGGAGCACAAAUAAAGCAAAGACAUGUUUUUGGUAA